UUUCUUUUUUGUAGCCCCGCUGUCCUGGAACUCCCUCUCUAAACCAGGCUGUCCUUAAACUCAGAGAGAUCUGUCUGGCUCUGCUUCCUGAGUGCUGGGAUUAAAGGCGUGCGCGACCAUGCCCGGCGAGACCCUGUCUUUUAAAAAAAAGUGUCUACCAUGACUGAAGCUUCUCAAAUGUGCUCUCUAGUGAACCCAGAUGAAUACACUAUGUGUAAAAAAAAAAAAAUGUCGGGAUGAAACCCAUUAUUAUGGAUAAUUGCUAUAUGCUAAUAAAAACAGAGUGCCCAUCACAGAUAAAUGUAUAAACAACAGAGAUUGCUAGUGAUAUAGGUUAACUAUAAAAGACACUCUGUGCACAGGAGGCCUUGGGUUCAAUUCCCAGGAUUUUAAAUGAAUGAAUAAUAAAAUUGAUAAGUAAAAGGUUUUUGUUUUUUUUUUUGUAAGAUUUAUUUUAUUGAUUAGUAUACUAUAGCUCUCUCCAGACACACCAGAAGAGGGCAUCAGAUCCCAUUUCAGAUAGUUGUGAGCCACCAUGUGGUUGCUGGGAAUUGCAUUCAGGACCUCUGGAAGAGCAGUCAGUGCUCUUAACCACGGAGCCAUCUCUCCAGCCCAAGAAGUAAAAGUUAAAAGAUUGCCAUUAACCACCAAAAGUUAGGAGCGAGACAAGGAAUGGGAUGUCCCUUGGAGAGCACAAACUCUGGGUCCCCAGAGCUAUGAGAAAAUAUGGCUGGUGACCUUGGUACUUUGCUGUUCCAGGAAACCAAUACUGUUGUACUCAGAUUGGAGCUGGUUUGUUACAGAGCUGGAGGUGAAACCACAACUCCUUCCUAGGUAUCCCCUGGAGUGUCUAUCCCCUGAGCUGUACCCCGUGCCCCUAAGCUCUUUUAGCCUUGAGGGAUGUUGGCAAGGGAGGCUUUGGAUGAAGAGAGAACUUUUCCAUUCACAAGCUGAAUCUGAAGAAAAUAUCUCCUAUCUAGAACUCACCAGGUUGAAAAGUUAAACCUUUUUCUUUGUUCAUAGUCACUAGCUUACAAAACAUUAUUUUUUGGCACGUUCAGAUAGGGUUUUAUGAAGCCCACGUUGGUCUUAAGAUUCAGUUGUAGCUAGGGAUGAAUUUGAACUUGAUCCUCCCAGUGGUACGAUAGGCUCCGUCCCACCAGACCUGGUUUUAUGCAGGGUUUGAGACUGAACUCAUAACUUUGUAUAAGCGAGGCAAACACUUUACCGACUAAGUCACACUCCAAGCCAUGCAUUAGGGUUUCAUUUUAAGGAAUAGCCUCUGGGUAUAGGAUUAAAAUGUAGGGCACCACCACCUAUGAAAUGUUUUUGGCAUCAAGUCCAGAGUGUAAGAGUUAAGAUUCCUGGGGGCUGGCGUGAUGGUUCAGCAGUUAAGAGCACUGACUGCUCUUCUGAAGGUCCUGAGUUUAAAUCCCAGCAACCACAUGGUGGCUUACAACCACUGGUAAUGAGAUCUGACGCCCUCUUCUGGUAUGUCAGAAGUCAGCUACAGUGUACUUAUGUAUAAUAAUAAAUGAAGCUUUGGUCCAGAGCAAGCAGGGACUGAGUGAGUGGGGUUGACCUGAGCGAGUAGAGGUCCUAAAAAUUCAAUCCCCAACAACCACAUGAAGGCUUACAACAAUCUGUACAACUACAGUGUACUCACAUACAUAAAAUAAAUAAAUAAAUCUUU
rnacentral:lncRNA from 1 species